CCCAGUGACCAUAGGACCUGGGCAGGAGCCCAUUCCUGUAAUCGCAAGGACAAACGUCCAAAGAAGGAGUUGGGGGUAGGGCUCAAGUCAGGUAACAUUCCUCAGGGGAAGGAUUAUCAAGUGACACCGGGCGGAGGGCCCACGGGGGACUGGGCGGGAGGAAAGUUAGCAGGUAAAAAGGAUGAAUCAUGGAGAAGGAAGUGACCUUUAGGAGAAGGAAAUACGAGAAUACCAAAAAAGGUGUAAGGUUAAGAAGAGAAAAUGGACCCAGAAGAGGGGACCAAAAAAGAGGAGGCGUGUUCGGGUACUGGAGGAAGAAGAAAGGAAAGCACCUACAUAAUAGCUGCCCAAUCUCUUCCCUGCUCUGAGCCCAGGGGUUUAGUCUGCAGAGCUCUGAGAGUGUAAAAUUUCCCAUGUGCCUUCAAACCAGGUCAUUCUGGAAUCUG
rnacentral:lncRNA from 1 species